rnacentral:rRNA from 1 species
UACGUAGGGUGCAAGCGUUUGUCCGGAAUUAUUGGGCGUAAAGAGCUCGUAGGCGGUCUGUCGCGUCUGCUGUGAAAACUCCGGGCUCAACCCGGAGACGCCACCCGAUACUGUCGUGACUGGAGUCCGGUAGGGGAGUGGGGAAUUCCUGGUGUAGCGGUGAAAUGAGCAGAUAUCAGGAGGAACACCGGUGGCGAAGGCGCCACUCUGGGCCGGUACUGACGCUGAGGAGCGAAAGCGUGGGU